CACCCAGUGGUUGUCCCAGUGGUAAAGGCGAAUGACUGACUCUCAUUGGUCAAGGGUUCGAUUCCCCACCGGGUGA